UACGUAGGCAGCAAGCGUUGUUCGGAGCUACUGGGCGUAAAGGGUGUGUAGGCGGUUUUUUAAGUUUGGUGUGAAAUCUCCCGGCUCAACUGGGAGGGUGCGCCGAAUACUGAAAGACUAGAGUGCGGGAGAGGAAAGUGGAAUUCCUGGUGUAGCGGUGAAAUGCGUAGAUAUCAGGAGGAACACCGGUGGUGUAGACGGCUUUCUGGACCGUAACUGACGCUGAGACACGAAAGCGUGGGUAGCAAACAGG
rnacentral:rRNA from 1 species